GACAGAGGGUGCAAACGUUGUCCGGAAUUACUGGGCGUAAAGAGCUCGUAGGUGGUUUGUCGCGUUGUUCGUGAAAACUCACAGCUUAACUGUGGGCGUGCGGGCGAUACGGGCAGACUUGAGUACUGCAGGGGAGACUGGAAUUCCUGGUGUAGCGGUGGAAUGCGCAGAUAUCAGGAGGAACACCGGUGGCGAAGGCGGGUCUCUGGGCAGUAACUGACGCUGAGGAGCGAAAGCGUGGGGAGCGAACAGG
rnacentral:rRNA from 1 species